rnacentral:rRNA from 1 species
AGUGAACGCUGGCGGCAGGCCUAACACAUGCAAGUCGAACGGCAGCACAAGAGAGCUUGCUCUCUGGGUGGCGAGUGGCGGACGGGUGAGGAAUGCAUCGGAAUCUGCCCAUUUGUGGGGGAUAACCUCGGGAAACCGGGACUAAUACCGCAUACGACCUACGGGUGAAAGCAGGGGAUCUUCGGACCUUGCGCAGAUGGAUGAGCCGAUGCCGGAUUAGCUAGUUGGAGGGGUAAAGGCCCACCAAGGCGACGAUCCGUAGCUGGUCUGAGAGGAUGAUCCGCCACACUGGGACUGAGACACGGCCCAGACUCCUACGGGAGGCAGCAGUGGGGAAUAUUGGACAAUGGGCGCAAGCCUGAUCCAGCCAUGCCGCGUGUGUGAAGAAGGCCUUCGGGUUGUAAAGCACUUUUGUUGGGAAAGAAAAGCAGCCGGUUAAUACCCGGUUGUCAUGACGGUACCCAAAGAAUAAGCACCGGCUAACUUCGUG